GGUGGGAAAUCGUGUUCGCCUGGAAGUCAUUGAAGGCGAUGUAUUCGAGGGCUACGUGCAAAAUGUUGACAGAAAUGUUGGGAAAAUAACGCUACAAAAGGUCACAUUGUGUGGGGCGGACUCUGGCAGUGACAAGAGAUUGCAGGGAUUGCAGCAUUUUGACCAUAAUGAAGUCAAAGACCUCGAAAUAUUUGAAGAUUUUGACAGCAGCCUGAGACAAACCACAUUCAAUUCAAAUAAACGGGAACAUGGACCUCGACUAACUCAAAACAAGGACACACCUCGUCAUCUACUGAGAACAAGGAACGUGACAUCAGAAAAUCUUAUCCUCCAGAAAUCAGUCUCCAUUGGAGAUGAGAACAGGGGGAGACAACUCCGAUACGACAAAGCGGGAUCAUUGAAGAGCUCCGAUUACGAUUCCAGCAGUGAUGUUGGGGAGGGAACUAAUGGCGACUUCCAUAUCAUUGACAAGUUGGAUGAAGUGUUCCGUGAAGCAGUCGAGUAUGUCCAAGUACAGAAGGUCAUUGGUGUGGGCCUAGAGGGUGUAUGCAUCGGUAGAGAUGGGACAUUGUGCUGGCU